GAAGUGUGGACGCCAGUCUGCAUGGAGCCGACCUUGAAAUACCACCCUUUAAUGUUUGAUGUUCUAACGUUGACCCGUAAUCCGGGUUGCGGACAGUGUCUGGUGGGUAGUUUGACUGGGGCGGUCUCCUCCUAAAGAGUAACGGAGGAGCACGAAGGUUGGCUAAUCCUGGUCGGACAUCAGGAGGUUAGUGCAAUGGCAUAAG
rnacentral:rRNA from 1 species